rnacentral:misc_RNA from 2 species
AACGCACAUUGCGCCCGCCAGCAUUCUGGCGGGCAUGCCUGUUCGAGCGUCAUUUCAACCCUCGACUUCCCUUUGGGGAAAUCGGCGUUGGGGACCGGCCGUAUACCGCCGGCCCCGAAAUGAAGUGGCGGCCCGUCCGCGGCGACCUCUGCGUAGUAAUCCAACUCGCACCGGAACCCCGACGUGGCCACGCCGUAAAACCCCCGACUUCUGAACGUUGACCUCGGAUCAGGUAGGAAUACCCGCUGAACUUAA